GACGUAGGGGGCAAGCGUUGUUCGGAAUUAUUGGGCGUAAAGCGCUCGUAGGUGGGAUUGCAAGUUCGGGUUGAAAGACCUCGGCUCAACUGAGGAAUAGGUUCGAAUACUGCGAUUCUUGAGGCAAUCAGAGGGUGAUGGAAUUCCCGGUGUAGCGGUGAAAUGCGUAGAUAUCAGGAGGAACACCGGUGGUGUAGACGGCUUUCUGGACCGUAACUGACGCUGAGACACGAAAGCGUGGGUAGCAAACAGG
rnacentral:rRNA from 1 species